rnacentral:rRNA from 1 species
CGGCAGCACGGGUGCUUGCACCUGGUGGCGAGUGGCGAACGGGUUGAGUAAUACAUCGGAACGUACCUUAUCGUGGGGGAUAACGCAGCGAAAGCUGUGCUAAUACCGCAUACGCCCUGAGGGGGAAAGCGGGGGAUCGAAAGACCUCGCGCGAUUAGAGCGGCCGAUGCCUGAUUAGCUUGUUGGUGGGGUAAAAGCCCACCAAGGCGACGAUCAGUAGCUGGUCUGAGAGGACGAUCAGCCACACUGGGACUGAGACACGGCCCAGACUCCUACGGGAGGCAGCAGUGGGGAAUUUUGGACAAUGGGGGCAACCCUGAUCCAGCAAUGCCGCGUGAGUGAAGAAGGCCUUCGGGUUGUAAAGCUCUUUUGUCAGGGAAGAAACACCGGCUCUAACACAGUCCGGGAAUGACGGUACCUGAAGAAUAAGCACCGGCUAACUACGUGCCAGCAGCCGCGGUAAUACGUAGGGUGCGAGCGUUAAUCGGAAUUACUGGGCGUAAAGCGUGCGCAGGCGGUUAUACAAGACAGGCGUGAAAUCCCCGGGCUUAACCUGGGAAUGGCGCCUGUGACUGU